GUGCAGAUGAUGUGAACGUUUUUUUUACCACUGAGUAAACUGAUGUUUCCAAAGGAACCACUGAUGCAC
ensembl:snoRNA SNORD42 Small nucleolar RNA SNORD42